GGGCGAUUAGCUCAGCUGGUUAGAGCAUCACAUUGACAUUGUGGAGGUCACAGGUUCGAGUCCCGUAUCGCCCA
rfam:Candidate division WS6 bacterium GW2011_GWC1_33_20 TR34_C0003, whole genome shotgun sequence.